AAGACAGUGUUCAAAGCAGAGUAAAUUUGGAGCAGCUCAGAGUAACUCUGAGCAACUCUGAGGAAUUUGCGAAUCAAAAUUCCCACCCUUAAAUCAUCUUGAUUUUGACAAAAUGGUAUACAACAAAAACAAUAAUAAACCAAACUCAGUCUGCCGAAUAUAAACAGCGUAAAAUAAUAAAGAUGAAAAGUUGUGAAGUGAUUUCACAUUCAAAGAAAUAUUCCUGAGCUGCACACAGCAAUGGAUCCAGCGUGGAAACCAUGCCUUUUGCAACAAUCAAACGGUUAUCCUGCUGCUUCUACGCAUACGCUAUGACAAGUCUGGAGAUUGAACCAAAUCGGAAUCAAGGGCCAAGUAAGUGGCCGAAGCAGAUGAAUUUGAAAAAGAAAGAAAAAAGCUGCUGAAAAGAAAACGCCGACUCCCAACUACGAAUAUGUUUGCCCGAGAAAGACACGAGACCCAUCGACCUGAAGGAAAAAACUGCAAAUGAGGUGAACUUCCAGUGCCGGGAGAAAAAUUCCGGAUGGUGCAGUUUACAAUUCGCGUAAGAAGCAGGAUCUAUUUCCUUUCGGGGAUUUUACUCAGUUUCGAUGACGAGUCUAUAUUUGAAUAUUUUGUAUUUACAUCUAUAAAAUAAAAUAUGAAUCGAGAACAGUU